GNNGCAUCCGGCUGCUAUACUGCAGUCGAGCGACAGAUAAGGAGCUUGCUCCUUUGACGUUAGCGGCGGACGGGUGAGUAACACGUGGAUAACCUACCUAUAAGACUGGGAUAACUUCGGGAAACCGGAGCUAAUACCGGAUAACAUAUUGAACCGCAUGGUUCAAUAGUGAAAGGCGGCUUUGCUGUCACUUAUAGAUGGAUCCGCGCCGUAUUAGCUAGUUGGUAAGGUAACGGCUUACCAAGGCAACGAUACGUAGCCGACCUGAGAGGGUGAUCGGCCACACUGGAACUGAGACACGGUCCAGACUCCUACGGGAGGCAGCAGUAGGGAAUCUUCCGCAAUGGGCGAAAGCCUGACGGAGCAACGCCGCGUGAGUGAUGAAGGUCUUCGGAUCGUAAAACUCUGUUAUCAGGGAAGAACAAAUGUGUAAGUAACUGUGCACAUCUUGACGGUACCUGAUCAGAAAGCCACGGCUAACUACGUGCCAGCAGCCGCGGUAAUACGUAGGUGGCAAGCGUUAUCCGGAAUUAUUGGGCGUAAAGCGCGCGUAGGCGGUUUUUUAAGUCUGAUGUGAAAGCCCACGGCUCAACCGUGGAGGGUCAUUGGAAACUGGAAAACUUGAGUGCAGAAGAGGAAAGUGGAAUUCCAUGUGUAGCGGUGAAAUGCGCAGAGAUAUGGAGGAACACCAGUGGCGAAGGCGACUUUCUGGUCUGUAACUGACGCUGAUGUGCGAAAGCGUGGGGAUCAAACAGGAUUAGAUACCCUGGUAGUCCACGCCGUAAACGAUGAGUGCUAAGUGUUAGGGGGGUUUCCGCCCCUUAGUGCUGCAGCUAACGCAUUAAGCACUCCGCCUGGGGAGUACGACCGCAAGGUUGAAACUCAAAGGAAUUGACGGGGACCCGCACAAGCGGUGGAGCAUGUGGUUUAAUUCGAAGCAACGCGAAGAACCUUACCAAAUCUUGACAUCCUUUGACCGCUCUAGAGAUAGAGUCUUCCCCUUCGGGGGACAAAGUGACAGGUGGUGCAUGGUUGUCGUCAGCUCGUGUCGUGAGAUGUUGGGUUAAGUCCCGCAACGAGCGCACCCUUUAGCUUAGUGCCAUCAUUAAGUUGGGCACUCUAGUUGGACUGCGNGACANNGAAGAAGGUGGNGAUGGACGGUCAAUCAUCAUGCCCNUAUGGAUNGGCCUACNCACGUGCUACAAUGGGNCNAUACAAGGGGCAG
rnacentral:rRNA from 1 species